UACCAGCACCCCGAGUGGUCGGGACGAUUAUUGGGCCUAAAGCAUUCGUAGCCGGUCCUACAAGUCUUCCGUUAAAUCCACCUGCUUAACAGAUGGGCUGCGGGAGAUACUACAGGGCUAGGAGGCGGGAGAGGCAAGCGGUACUCAGUGGGUAGGGGUAAAAUCCGUUGAUCCAUUGAAGACCACCAGUGGCGAAGGCGGCUUGCCAGAAUGCGCUCGACGGUGAGGGAUGAAAGCUGGGGGAGCAAACCGG
rnacentral:rRNA from 1 species